GCCUUUGCAAAUGGUUUAUACACACACUCGCAAAGGAGGAGCAGCUGAUGCAAGACCUGCCACAGAAAGACGGUCCAAAGGACUGACCCAGCAGCUCAUGUGAAACUCUGCGGAGUUCUGGACAUAAAUACAUCUGUGAACCAAAACCAGUCAGGACAAACACUCUUAAUUGAAUUAAACUUUCAUUAAGCUUGAUUAUUUUAUUUUGCUUUUGACAAAGGCCUUUGCAUUUAUUAUUACAUCUGUGGCUAAAACUGAAAUAGUUUCUAAAUUUCCCAUGGGUAGCUCAUUGUUGUUUCACCCACCAGUGCCUGGCACAAGGGGGAAAACGGUGAGAAAAGCAAGCCAAAUCAAUUUAUCAGUAGUGCUAACUUAUCAGCCCUUUCUCAAAUCACAUGCCCCACAGUGUAACUCGAAUGACCAGUUUUUCCUUCCAUUAGCAAGUACAUUAAGGGAAAGUGAUCUCCCUGCCAGCAAGUGUCAGAUGCACCAGAUACUGUAUCCUAUCUGGACAUUAAAGUUAUAUGCAGGGCCUCCGGCUGGAUUUCGGUUUGGUUUCUAGCAACAUCAGCACAAAGGAACGACCGUGGCUAACAAACAAGUAUAAAGUACAACUUUUUAUCUCCUGAAGUAAAACAAUCUUCCCACAACCAUAAAUUAUCUACCAGUAAAGAAAUUCAGCCUUGACUCCUAGCAGCAGAAAGUAGAAGAGGCCCUUCUCCUGCAGCCAGCCUCCUCUGCUGCAGCCCUGGUCAUGGACAACACCAGCUCUGUCCUCCCCACAUCCUGCUGGAAAGGGGCAUUCCCAGCACCAACAGAAUUCCAGGUAACUGAGCCAAAACAUCCACUUGCAGCUCUGGGAAUGGGUCUUGCUGCAGCGACAGAUGCAUCCAGGACCUUGCUCUUAGUUAAUAAAUUCCAUUAUCACUGGAAAAAAAAUCCAGCUGGUUCAAAGCACACUAAGGUCUAUGCAGAGAAGGAAGGACAGUUGUGAGCGCGCUACUCUGUCAUCUGCAGUGGCUCUAAGCCAGAUGUCAAGGCUGUUCAAAGCUGUAUUUAUAACCUGCAGCACUCCCACUUGUAGAAGCUCCAGUCGUGUCCCACUGCAACCACGGAACUACAAACAACAUUCGCUAGCAAUGGUAAGAAUUGCUUCCACCCAAGAGGAGUUGUUACACUUCUACCAACUUUCAGAACUGGCUGCUUCUUCAAUUUCUCUGAAUUCUUUUGAUAAUCGAUUACUUCUAACUUAAAAUAAAAUAAAAUAAAAUAAGAUUCACUAUCAUUAGAAAAGCCAAAUUAUUCAGACUGCCCUAUAGUUUGGAAAAAUAUUAUGUUGCACAGUUUGAGGGACUGAAAGUAACUUUCAUCACAAGUUUUUUACAUUAAUCCAAGUGAUGACUUCAGAGCAUCUCUGACAAUCCACUGGGAUUUGUUUCAAUUUUGGCUAUCUAUAACUAUUGCUUUUGAAAAGUCUGAUAGCUGUUCUUAGACCGAGUAUUUAACUUCUUUGUAUUUUACUGCUUACUUGGUCUUUCUCUUCUGCCAGGCUUGCUGCAAAGCCUUUAGCAACACCAAAAGCAGUGUUUAGAAGCUGGUUACGAUCAAAUUCACCUUAUCUAAAGUGGUGGCACAAUAAUUUUUGUUAUUUUUGUUUAUGCAGGAGACCUAGGGAAAAGCAGUUGACUGAUGUGUGAGAUGAGCCACAACAGCACGUAGUUCGUGGUAGAUAGACCAGAGAGAGCAACAGAUACAAUCUGUCUAGUCUUACAUUGGCAAACACGAACAAAAAUUUAUUACCAAACUCCACCUAACUGAAUUUACCUUUUUACAGUGUGGCCACAGAACAGCUGCUGCGCCUAUUUCAAAAUGCCAGCUCACAGAAACACAACAGCUGAAGGAUCACUGCUGGGUACUGAAGAGAAACCUUUAUGCUAUUUUGUUACUCAAAACUUAAGUCUCCUUCCUACUAAAUAAAUAAAUAAAUACAAAUACAU
ensembl:lncRNA